rnacentral:lncRNA from 1 species
AAUUAAUUAAUUAUUUUAAUUAUUCAAUAAUCAACUCAUAAAGAUUUUUAUAUGCAUCACAUUAUUUAGCAAACAAAUAAUGAUACUAAAACAUUGGUCAUAACACUACAAUCGCUUAUUCUCACAUCAAAAAAUAUGUAUAAGAACUCUUCCAAACUUGGUAUUUAACAAUCUUUAAAAAUCAACUAUCACCUCAUAACAACAUGGUGAAUUACAACCGAUCUACCAUGGUCAUCAAC